UUUUUAAUUUUUUAAUUUUUUUUUAUGGACUUAAUCUGGUAUCACAAUUGCACUACAGGCAAUGACUUUCCACAAGUGCAAGGAUUUGAGAGUUACGAACCUUCAAAUUGUCUAUGGUCAGCAAAUGCACAUUGCAUUCACUAAUUGUAUCCAAGUUAUGGUAUUCCGUGUUUUGGUGACUUCACCUGCUUUUAGCCCCAAUACCGAUGGAAUUCAUAUCAGUGCAUCUCGUGGUGUCGAGGUCAGAGAUAGCAUAGUCAGGACAGGUUGGUUAUUUCAAAAACCAUCAUGCUGUUUAAGCUUUACAAAUUAUGUUCACCUCAUAAGCAUGUAAACAUCAGUAGUUUCACAUUUAUAUCAAGAGUGGAAGGUAGAACUUUGGUAUUCCAGUGUCCUUAAUCUGCCUUCUAUAAGCUGCUGCAAAAUAAAGGAUUACAUAGUGUAAGUAAUGAGAGGAAGAAUUUUGAAUUUAGGUUUUUUAACAAAAAAUAUAUAAAGGAAUCUAGGAUUUGGGAAUAAAUGGGUUGGCUGAGUUGAACAUGGAUUAUAGAGAUUGCUAUUUUUUGAAAUUCACUGAAAGGUCUUGAGAAAACCAUUUCAAGAAUUAAGUCAAGGAACAACAGCCAAAUGACAAGUUGGAACCACAAGUCCAGCAUAACAUAAUUUUCCGUCUCUUCAUAGAUGGAAAGUACAUAAUAUACAACUUUGGGCCAGGGAAACCACACAUGAUUUAACUAUGCAUCACCCAAUCUAAUAGCAUCAUUUUUGUUCCUGUGAUGUUCCUUCUUUCAAAUAUCUCAAGUUUCCUAUGGAGUUAAGUUGGGUUUCAGUUUAUUUAUUAGUUUCCUAUUGAAAAACAAAAAAGAUUUAUAAAUAUAAGGGGGUUAUGAAAUUCAAGUUGGCAACUCUGUCCAGAAUAUGAACAUUUUGAGUUCUUGGACUUGUUGUAGCUAUGAGUGGCGUCAAAAAGAUUUUUAUUCCAUUCUGCAUUAUGCCUGGACUAAUAAAAAGCUCUAGUUCGCUAGAGUUGCAGGGAUGAUGGAGGAGCAAAGUUUUCGCUAUUCAAAUUUCAUGUGAUUCAAAUAAUUUUUGAAACCUUAUGGGAAGUUGUUUCUGAUAUUUUUUUGUGUCUUCAGCAACAUGCAAGACAGACACUAGGCUUCACAUAUGCAUUCUUGUGCUGCAUUUUUCAUUUCAUAAUUUUGAUUACAUGCUAAAUUCGGCAUCCAGGAGAUGACUGCAUCUCCAUAGUCAGCAACUCCUCACGGAUCAGAAUCAGGAACUUUGCCUGUGGACCAGGGCAUGGCAUAAGCAUUGGAAGCCUGGGAAAAUAUAACUCGUCAUCAAAGGUUUACGAUGUAUUGGUGGAUGGGGCAUUCCUAUCCAACACUGAUAAUGGGCUUCGAAUAAAAACAUGGCAGGGAGGUAAUGGUGAUGCCAGUCAGAUCAAGUUCCAGAAUGUUUUAAUGGAAAAUGUAUCAAAUCCAAUUAUAAUAGAUCAAUAUUAUUGUGAUUCACCACUUCCAUGUGCAAACCAGGUAUGGAAUUCUUACCCUCUUUGAGAUUUACUGUGAAAACUACAAAAUCAUUGAAUCAUUUGGCUGGUUAUAAUGUUGCUUCCUGGAUUGCCCAUGUUAACACCAUUAGUUGGGAUGACUAUGUCUUAUCAGUAGUCUAUAAACACAAGGGUAGUACUAAUCUUAAUUAAAAGAAACUGUAUAACCUUAUAUUCCAUGGAAUGCAGACUUCAGCUGUUAAAGUGGCGAAUAUAUCCUUUAUGCACAUCAAAGGAACUUCAGCUACAGAGCAUGCUAUAGUAUUUGCUUGCAGUGAUUACUCUCCGUGCGAAGGGUUAUAUUUAGAAGAUAUUCAACUAGUGUCAUACACUGAAGAAAUCACAAAAUCUUUUUGUUGGGAAGCCUAUGGCUCAAGCGUGGGUCUAGUCAGUCCCCCUUCCUGCUUCUCAUGUACUGAGAGCUUCAUUAAGCAGAGAGUCCCAUCCGACUCCCUACAGUUCUUCUGAAGAAAGGCUGCACCAUUUGAAUUGAACAUAUACAAAAAUAAUAACCAGAAAAUUAUUAUUGGUCCAAGAAUCUUGUUGGAUCCGAUUCUUUGUCAAGAAGACAUCGAAGGCAUUCCAUAUUAUGGAUCAUGCCAUGGUGAAGAAUAAUUUAUUACUAGAACUAUUCUUAUAUUUGUUUCUCAAAAUUUGCUGAGGCCCUUGUUUUAUAUCGCAGAGAGCAUCAGAUGGGAAAUGAUCUGUAAAUAGUAGAGACGUCAAAGACUUGAGAUUUGAUCAAGAAUAUUCAUUGUAUAAUCUCAUGUGACAUUAACAAUGCCUGAGUUUAUCAAAGAUUAUUAAGUAUUUAUAUAAAUGGAGAAAUUUGGCACAAUAAUAUUUCACUGUUGUAUAAUCUCACGUGAAAUACAAGCAAAUGAGGCAGGCAUA
rnacentral:misc_RNA from 1 species